GCUAGGUGUGGUGCUUCAUGCCUGUAAUUCCAGCUAUUCUGGAGGCUGAGGCAGGAAGAUUGCUUGAACCCAGGAAUUUGAGGCCAGCCUGAGCAACAUAGUGAAACCCAUCUCAA
rnacentral:sRNA from 1 species